UUGGAGGGCAAGUCUGGUGCCAGCAGCCGCGGUAAUUCCAGCUCCAAUAGCGUAUAUUAAAGUUGUUGCAGUUAAAAAGCUCGUAGUUGAAUUUCGGGAUCAGAGUGUCGGUCGUGCCUCGGUACGCACUGGUAUUAUUGGUUCCUACCUUCUGAAGAACCGCGAUGUCAUUAAUUUGGUGUCGUGGGGAAUCAGGACUGUUACUUUGAAAAAAUUAGAGUGUUUAAAGCAGGCUUACGCUUGAAUACAUUAGCAUGGAAUAAUGAAAUAGGACGUUUGAUUCUAUUUUGUUGGUUUCUAGGAUUGACGUAAUGAUUAAUAGGGAUAGUUGGGGGCAUUAGUAUUCUAUUGUCAGAGGUGAAAUUCUUGGAUUUAUUGAAGACUAACUACUGCGAAAGCAUUUGCCAAGGAUGUUUUCAUUAAUCAAGAACGAAAGUUAGGGGAUCGAAGACGAUCAGAUACCGUCGUAGUCUUAACCAUAAACUAUGCCGACUAGGGAUCGGAUGAUGUUAAUUUUUUAAUGACUCAUUCGGCGCCUUACGGGAAACCAAAGUGUUUGGGUUC
rnacentral:rRNA from 1 species